ACUCAAAGGAAUUGACGGGGGCCCGCACAAGCGGCGGAGCAUGCGGAUUAAUUCGAUGCAACGCGAAGAACCUUACCAAGGCUUGACAUAUACCGGAAAAGUUCAGAAAUGUUCUCCCCGCAAGGUCGGUAUACAGGUGGUGCAUGGUUGUCGUCAGCUCGUGUCGUGAGAUGUUGGGUUAAGUCCCGCAACGAGCGCAACCCUCGUUCUAUGUUGCCAGCACGUAAUGGUGGGAACUCAUAGGAGACUGCCGGGGUCAACUCGGAGGAAGGUGGGGAUGACGUCAAAUCAUCAUGCCCCUUAUGUCUUGGGCUUCACGCAUGCUACAAUGGCCGAUACAAAGGGCUGCAAUACCGCGAGGUGGAGCGAAUCCCAAAAAGUCGGUCUCAGUUCGGAUUGAGGUCUGCAACUCGACCUCAUGAAGUCGGAGUCGCUAGUAAUCGCAGAUCAGCAACGCUGCGGUGAAUACGUUCCCGGGCCUUGUACACACCGCCCGU
rnacentral:rRNA from 1 species